rnacentral:misc_RNA from 1 species
GAUGAAGAACGCAGCGAAAUGCGAUACUUGGUGUGAAUUGCAGAAUCCCGUGAACCAUCGAGUCUUUGAACGCAAGUUGCGCCCGAAGCCAUUAGGCCGAGGGCACGCCUGCCUGGGCGUCACACGUCGUUGCCCCCCCAUCUACUCCUUCGGGAUUGCGGGGGGCGGAUGAUGGCCUCCCGUGCGCCUCGCCGCGCGGUUGGCAUAAAUGCCAAGUCCUCGGCGACGCACGCCACGACAAUCGGUGGUUGCGAAACCUCGGUUGCCCGUCGUGUGCGGUCGUCGCGCAUCGAGGGCUCGAAAAAAUUGCCGGGUUCCGGCUCGGCUUUCAACGCGACCCCCGGUCAGGCGGGGUUACCCGCUGAAUUUAAGCAUAUCAAUAGCGGAGGA